GCAGUGCAUCCUACGGGAGGCAGCAGUGGGGAAUAUUGCACAAUGGGCGCAAGCCUGAUGCAGCCAUGCCGCGUGUAUGAAGAAGGCCUUCGGGUUGUAAAGUACUUUCAGCAGUGAGGAAGGUGGGUAAUGUUAAUAGCAUACUCAUUUGACGUUAGCUGCAGAAGAAGCACCGGCUAACUCCGUGCCAGCAGCCGCGGUAAUACGGAGGGUGCGAGCGUUAAUCGGAAUUACUGGGCGUAAAGCGCAUGCAGGUGGUUUGUUAAGUCAGAUGUGAAAGCCCGGGGCUCAACCUCGGAAUUGCAUUUGAAACUGGCAAACUAGAGUACUGUAGAGGGGGUAGAAUUUCAGGUGUAGCGGUGAAAUGCGUAGAGAUCUGAAGGAAUACCGGUGGCGAAGGCGGCCCCCUGGACAGAUACUGACACUCAGAUGCGAAAGCGUGGGGAGCAAACAGGAUUAGAUACCCUGGUAG
rnacentral:rRNA from 1 species